UACGUAGGGUGCAAGCGUUGUCCGGAAUUAUUGGGCGUAAAGAGCUCGUAGGCGGUUUGUCGCGUCUGCUGUGAAAACUCGGGGCUUAACUCCGGGCCUGCAGUGGGUACGGGCAGACUAGAGUGCGGUAGGGGAGACUGGAAUUCCUGGUGUAGCGGUGAAAUGCGUAGAUAUCAAGAGGAACACCUGCGGCGAAGGCGGGUUGCUGGGCCGACACUGACGCUGAGGCGCGAAAGCCAGGGGAGCGAACGGG
rnacentral:rRNA from 1 species